CCUACGGGUGGCAGCAGUGAGGAAUAUUGGUCAAUGGGAGAGAUCCUGAACCAGCCAAGCCGCGUGAGGGAAGACGGCCCUAUGGGUUGUAAACCUCUUUUGUCGGAGAACAAAACCCGGGACGUGUCCCGGACUGCGUGUAUCCGAAGAAAAAGCAUCGGCUAACUCCGUGCCAGCAGCCGCGGUAAUACGGAGGAUGCGAGCGUUAUCCGGAUUUAUUGGGUGUAAAGGGUGCGGAGGCGGUCCGUUAAGUCAGCGGGAAAAUUGCGGGGCUAAACCCCGGCGAGCCGUUGAAACUGGCAGACUUGAGUUGGCGAGAAGUACGCGGAAUGCGCGGUGUAGCGGUGAAAUGCAUAGAUAUCGCGCAGAACUCCGAUUGCGAAGGCAGCGUACCGGCGCCAGACUGACGCUGAGGCACGAAAGCGUGGGGAUCGAACAGGAUUAGAUACCCCUGUAGUC
rnacentral:rRNA from 1 species